AUAGCGUAUAUUAAAGUUGUUGCAGUUAAAAAGCUCGUAGUUGAAUAUCUGGCCGGUGCUGUUCUUGGCUCCCGUAGUCGGUUCAGCGCCUGGUUAUCCGUAUGGGAAACCAGCUCGACCUUUACUGUGUCGGCUGGCGGAUCAUACACUUUACUUUGAAAAAAUUAGAGUGUUUCAGGCAGGCAAUUGCUUGGAUACUGUAGCAUGGAAUAAUGGAAUAGGACUUUGACCUAUUUGUUGGUUUCUCGAGGUCAAAGUAAUGAUUAAUAGGGACGGUUGGGGGCAUUCGUAUUUAAUUGUCAGAGGUGAAAUUCUUGGAUUUUUUAAAGACGAACUUAUG
rnacentral:rRNA from 1 species